GCUUACGGCCAUACCAGCCUGAAAGCGCCCGAUCUCGUCAGAUCUCGUAAGCUAAGCAAGGUCGGGCCUGGUUAGUACUUGGAUGGGAGACUUCCUGGGAAUACCAGGUGCUGUAAGCG
rnacentral:rRNA from 1 species